UACGUAGGCAGAAUAUUAAGUCAGUGGUGAAAUCCUGCGGCUCAACCGUAGAACUGCCAUUGAUACUGAUGUUCUUGAAUAUAGUUGAGGUAGGCGGAAUGUGUAAUGUAGCGGUGAAAUGCUUAGAUAUUACACAGAACACCGAUUGCGAAGGCAGCUUACUAAACUAUUAUUGACGCUGGUGUACGAAAGCGUGGGGAGCGAACAGGAUUAGAUACCCUGGUAGUCC
rnacentral:rRNA from 1 species